AACGAACGCUGGCGGCAUGCCUAACACAUGCAAGUCGAACGAGACCUUCGGGUCUAGGGGCGCACGGGUGCGUAACGCGUGGGAACCUGCCCUUAGGUUCGGUAUCACUCCCCGAAAGGGGUCCUAAUACCGCUUAAUGUCUUCGGACCAAAGAUUUAUCGCCUUUGGAUGGGGCCGCGUUGGAUUCGCUAGUUGGUAGUGGAAAAGCCUACCAACGAGACGAUCCAUAGCUGGUCUGGGAGGAUGAUCAGCCCCACUGGGACUGAGACACGGCCCAGACUGCUACGGGAGGCAGCAGUGGGGAAUACUGGACACUGGGCGAAAGCCUGAUCCAGCAAUGCCGCGUGAGUGAUGAAUGCCUUAGGGUUGUAAAGCUGUUUUACACGGGAUGAUAAUGACAGUACCGGGAGAAGAAGCUCCGGCUAACUCCGUG
rnacentral:rRNA from 1 species